rnacentral:rRNA from 1 species
AUUGAACGCUGGCGGCAGGCCUAACACAUGCAAGUCGAACGAGUGGCGGACGGGUGAGUAAUGUCUGGGAAACUGCCUGAUGGAGGGGGAUAACUACUGGAAACGGUAGCUAAUACCGCAUACCAUCGGAUGUGCCCAGAUGGGAUGAGCUAGUUGGUGGGGUAACGGGGCACCUAUGCGACGAUCCCUAGCUGGGCUGAGAGGAUGACCAGCCACACUGGAACUGAGACAAGGUCCAGAAUCCUACGGGAGGCAGAAGGAGGGAAUAUUGCACAAUGGGCGCAAGCCUGAUGCAGCCAUGCCGCGUGUAUGAAGAAGGCCUUCGGGUUGUAAAGUACUUUCAGCGGGGAGGCGUUACCCGCAGAGAAAGCACCGGCUAACGCCGUGCCAGCAGCCGCGGUAAUAC